UCCUACGGGAGGCAGCAGUGGGGAAUAUUGCACAAUGGGCGAAAGCCUGAUGCAGCGACGCCGCGUGGGGGAUGAAGGCCUUCGGGUUGUAAACCCCUUUCAGCAGGGAAGAAGCGAAAGUGACGGUACCUGCAGAAGAAGCGCCGGCUAACUACGUGCCAGCAGCCGCGGUAAUA
rnacentral:rRNA from 1 species